CCUACGGGGGGCAGCAGUGGGGAAUAUUGGACAAUGGGGGGAACCCUGAUCCAGCCAUGCCGCGUGUGUGAAGAAGGCCCUCGGGUUGUAAAGCACUUUCAGUGAGGAAGAACGCCUGGUGGUUAAUACCCAUCAGGAAAGACAUCACUCACAGAAGAAGCACCGGCUAACUCCGUGCCAGCAGCCGCGGUAAUACGGAGGGUGCGAGCGUUAAUCGGAAUUACUGGGCGUAAAGCGCGCGUAGGUGGCUUGAUAAGCCGGUUGUGAAAGCCCCGGGCUCAACCUGGGAACGGCAUCCGGAACUGUCAAGCUAGAGUGCAGGAGAGGAAGGUAGAAUUCCCGGUGUAGCGGUGAAAUGCGUAGAGAUCGGGAGGAAUACCAGUGGCGAAGGCGGCCUUCUGGACUGACACUGACACUGAGGUGCGAAAGCGUGGGUAGCAAACAGGAUUAGAUACCCUGGUAGUA
rnacentral:rRNA from 1 species